rnacentral:lncRNA from 10 species
CGUAAGGACGCCCCCCCCCGCCGGUAGCCAUCUUCGUGCAUAGGCAAACUUAUUGUAGCUAGACUGUACAAAGUAUAUCAAGAUAUGCCAAAUAUUGAGCUUAACUUCACCUGUUUGAGAGACGGUGUUUCUUUUAGCUUGCAACACCAUGAAAAAAUUACUGAGACACUAGGAAUGCUGUGAACUGAGAAAGUUUGGGACCUUUGGCAUAACUAAAUCCUUCAUUUAACAGUGUUGUGAACCACUUGUCAUGGGAUAACCAAAAUUAAACCUGGAAUCGCAGAAGAAACAAAUUUUUUGAAGAAAUUGGAUGUACUUUUUUAAAAUUUUUCAUUCAACUAAAACUUUGUUAACUGUUUCUUGGUUGUGGUCUUCUCUAAAUUGUAAUCUUUGGCAUUCACUUCCAAAGUAUCCACCACUAAACUUCAUAACAUUUAUUGUGUCUCUUCAUCAUUAAACUUUGAUGAAUUUACAGAGUGUCUUUUGAAAUUAUGUUCUUGAGAAAGCCAGGGGAUUGGACGGUGUCAUGGAAAUGUCAAAGAAAAAGUGACACCUGAGAGAAAAUUUGAAAGAUGAAAGGUGCACAUCAUGGAGACAAUCUGACUGGUACAGAGAAAUGAAGAGACAACAUUUUCUUUCCAAAUCUGAGUGGAGAUGAUAGAAGAGGCCCUGGUUAGCAGCUUCAGAUGAUGGAUACAUAAAAAUGGGAGAGAGAAAACAUAUAAGAGUGACUAAUUGUUGAGUUUCCAGGGCUCAAACCAAUCUUGAAUUGGAAUUUCAAGACAUAAAAACCACUGCAGGAACCUGCUGGAGAAACGGCCUCUGGUAUCUCUAUCUGAAAUAUGAUUAUCUUAAGUUCGCAAAGCAUUGUGUCUGCAGUGUGAGUUUGAAAACAACAAUGUUAAGGCAACUUCGCAGCUUCUUAAUCAAGCCCUUCUCCAUCUCUCCGUGUGGUUUUUGGGGUGGUGGAGGUGGAGCCAAAAAAGAGAGGGCAGUUUCCCAGGGCUGAAGAUGCUACCAUGACUCAUAGGAUCUAUGCAAACCCUGUGAGUGAAUUCUGAGGAAGAAGAAUGAGUAAUAUUUUGAUUUUAUUACUGAUGGUAAUAAGAUAGUAUCAUCAGUGUGGUAUAUUCUGAUUACUGAAUUCUAUUCCCUAUUUUCUUCCUGUGGCCAAAUAAAAUUUGUGUGUGUAAGCUAUGAUAUUUAGUGUUGUUAUCUGAUGAGACAGGUUUAGUGGAAAAGUUCAUUUUAAAUAAACAUUAAAAUUGUUUCAGCCUCAGAUUUUUAAUCCAAAUCAUUCCUUUGACACCAGAAGAAUUUUCCUCAGAGUCAACUCCAAAGAUAAAGCUGCCUGUUUUCCUAUUUGCCCAGAAGUAAAGAGGUUGCAAAA